CCUACGGGUGGCAGCAGUGGGGAAUAUUGGACAAUGGGGGCAACCCUGAUCCAGCCAUGCCGCGUGUGUGAAGAAGGCCCUCGGGUUGUAAAGCACUUUCAGUGAGGAAGAACGCCUGGUGGUUAAUACCCAUCAGGAAAGACAUCACUCACAGAAGAAGCACCGGCUAACUCCGUGCCAGCAGCCGCGGUAAUACGGAGGGUGCGAGCGUUAAUCGGAAUUACUGGGCGUAAAGCGCGCGUAGGUGGCUUGAUAAGCCGGUUGUGAAAGCCCCGGGCUCAACCUGGGAACGGCAUCCGGAACUGUCAAGCUAGAGUGCAGGAGAGGAAGGUAGAAUUCCCGGUGUAGUGGUGAAAUGCGUAGAGAUCGGGAGGAAUACCAGUGGCGAAGGCGGCCUUCUGGACUGACACUGACACUGAGGUGCGAAAGCGUGGGUAGCAAACAGGAUUAGAUACCCGAGUAGUC
rnacentral:rRNA from 1 species